GACGAGCACCCCUGCCUUUGGUGCCGCGAGCACCCCUGCAUUUGGUGCUGCGAGCACACCAGCAUUUGGUGCCCCAAGCACACCAGCUUUUGGGGCCACAAGCACACCAGCAUUUGGCGCCACUAGCACCCCGGCAUUUGGCGCUGCAAGCACCCCAGCCUUUGGUGCGGCAAGCACCCCAGCCUUUGGCGCUACAAGCAGUCCUGCCUUUGGUUCAACAAGCACACCUGCCUUUGGUAGUACUGGGAAUGCAUUUGGUUCAC
rnacentral:misc_RNA from 1 species